rnacentral:rRNA from 1 species
CAGUCGCCGCGGGAAUACGGAGGGGGCUAGCGUUGUUCGGAAUUACUGGGCGUAAAGCGCACGUAGGCGGCUUGGUAAGUUAGAGGUGAAAGCCCGGAGCUCAACUCCGGAAUUGCCUUUAGGACUGCCGAGCUAGUAGGUGAGAGAGGUAAGUGGAAUUCCGAGUGUAGAGGUGAAAUUCGUAGAUAUUCGGAGGAACACCUGUGGCGAAGGCGGCUUACUGGCUCAUUCUAGACGCUGAGGUGCGAAAGCGUGGGGAGCAAACAGGAUUAGAUACCCCAGUAGUCCCUGUCUCUUAUAC